rnacentral:other from 1 species
GCCGCUCUGGAAUAAUCGUAGCGCAUCGUUUGAGUCCCUGACUACCCUCCCGAUCAUGUUUUCCUGGUUUCAGCCGUGGUGAGCAAGCCCUCAUUUAGCAGGGGGAAGCCUGAAGCGUCUUACCGGGGUAUGUUGCGACAGAGGUCAGAAAUUCAAGCAAAUUCGAGCGGUAUUCCGGAGCAAUU